rnacentral:rRNA from 1 species
CUGAACCAGCCAAGUAGCGUGAAGGAUGACUGCCCUAUGGGUUGUAAACUUCUUUUAUAAAGGAAUAAAGUCGGGUAUGCAUACCCGUUUGCAUGUACUUUAUGAAUAAGGAUCGGCUAACUCCGUGCCAGCAGCCGCGGUAAUACGGAGGGUCCGAGCGUUAUCCGGAUUUCUUGGGUUUAAAGGGAGCGUAGAUGGAUGUUUAAGUCAGUUGUGAAAGUUUGCGG